rnacentral:rRNA from 1 species
UACGGAGGAUCCGAGCGUUAUCCGGAUUUAUUGGGUUUAAAGGGAGCGUAGGCGGGCUUUUAAGUCAGCGGUCAAAUGUCGUGGCUCAACCAUGUCAAGCCGUUGAAACUGUAAGCCUUGAGUCUGCACAGGGCACAUGGAAUUCGUGGUGUAGCGGUGAAAUGCUUAGAUAUCACGAAGAACUCCGAUCGCGAAGGCAUUGUGCCGGGGCAGCACUGACGCUGAGGCUCGAAAGCGUGGGGAUCGAA